AAUAAUAUCACCGUUGGCUUCAACCACAGCCUCCAGACGACUUCGGAAUCUCAUGCUACUCGUUUGGACGGUGUCCUUCUUUAAGUUGGUGAAUGCUGCCAUAAUCUUUGCCUUCAGUUCAUCUUUGGUGUUACAAGGAAUUUUGGUGGUCUCUCGCUCAAAUGCACCGCACACAUUAUAAUCAAAGGAGUUGCAGUCUGGAGAGUUACGUAACCAGAUGUUAGGGAUGGUGUGGUAGCAGAAAUUGUCUGACAGCCAUGACUGGGUUCUCUUACUUGUGUGGCAUGGGGCAGAGUCCAGCAGCCACCCUCUUGACCAAGAGCAGCACUACCUCUUCUAGGCACUUGGUGUAGGCUUUCGUGUUGAGUUUGAGGUUGUGUAGGGAGGUGAAUGGAGGCAUAAAGUCGCCAUCACUAGCGAUCACGCCAAACACCAUGAUGUUGACUGGAUGUUUGAUUUUUAUCACUCUCAGAUUGCACUGUCCUCAGAUUGACACCCAAACACUCUGAAAUGUUCAUACUGGAGCUGCCGGUGGGAAUGCCAAGUAGUACAGCAUAUCGUUCCCAAUGUUCUGGCAGGGUGAACUGCAUCAUAGUGCUGUGUUUCUCACAGAUGAUGCCUAACUGACCCUACUAUACUGUGUAGUUGACAAAAUCAAAAAUAAACAAUCGCAUAUGCGAAAUUAAAAAAUAAUAUUGUGACAAUUUACACAUAGCACCCUGUAUAAAUAUAUUUAUAUGUAUAUAUAUAUGUGUGUGUGUGUGUGUGUGCUGCUGGAAACAUGGAAUCCAGUUCAACUUGUUGCAUGUUUGUAUCAACAACAACUAAACCGGCACCCCCACUACGAUUGUGUGGUGAGAAGGGUUUCUAAAAACUCAGUAGGAGUAAAACCAAAAGGUUUUUAAAGGAGGGAUGAACCUAGUGUGGAUUCAACUGGUAUCUAACCACAGCACUGGGAGAGAUGAAACCCUUAGCUUUUGAUAAAGCAUGACCCUAGGAGAAGGUCAAUUUGAUAUAAAACAAGGUUGGCAGGGAAUGGCACUGGGCAUUUCGGGGAUCAUUUGUUUGUGCUUGAGGUCAUGUUGCUGCCACAUUACUGCGUCUGAGACGCAUAUUGCCACUCGAUAUCUUGUUUCUUCGUUUCAGACAUGUUUUGGUCAAUAUACAUUUAACAAGUCUAUUGUGUGUUAAGUUUUUGGAGCGACUGUGAUAGAUUCGCGUUAUCAACAGUCAAUUACUUACAUAUACACACACAGACACACACACUGAUACACAAACAGACACAUAUAUAUAUACGCAUGCAUAUACACACACGUUGUCUAACACAUUCAGCAAGACAGACACAAAUAUUGAAACUGUGUUUUGUUUGAUGUCCAAUAAUAAAAUGGUACAAAUAUAUCUGCGAUAUGAUUCCAUUCUUUAAAUUAAUAUCUAAUGAAGAUAUUUAUAUCAUGCAAGGAUGCAAUAAUCUAAAUAAUAUAACCAAAAUUAUUGAACUGCCCAUUUUUCUACAACUUGGCGUUUUUCGAGCAAGGAAAUAUAGAUUAUCCAAAUGAGUAAUUCCAACUCAAAAGGAAAAUUAGAUUCACGCCAAAGUGUAUAACUGUUUAAUAUGAGGUCUAUAUACGAAGCAUUCAUUCUAAUGAGCUGCAUAUAUAGUUCCAAUAAAUAGAUAAUUCUAUAGAUGCCAGCACAUAUAUUGCCGUUAGUGUAUCCUUCCAUUUGUGAACUUGAUAAAUACUGCCAUAUUGUGACAUCAACACGCAUCAUACGCAUCCAGAUAAACAUAUGUAACAAUUAUUAGCAGCCAAGAGAGAUCAAGAAAUUCAUUCUAUGAAGCUGUGUACAAAAGUGAUAGUGGUACACACUCAAGAUCGUAGUGACUACUCGAAGAAUAAAAACAGUUUUCCUAGCUGAACAAUACAUACAUCAUUCGUAUAAAUGUAAAUGUAAAUGGAUCUGCAAUUCAAUCUACGCCAACCUCAAACCUUUGAUAACAUUGCAUUAGAAAAUAGAAUAGCAUAUCAAACAAGAGCACUGAGAGAGCGCAAAGCUCCGCCAAGGCAACACCAACGUCCUAUCAACGAUUUGCCAGAGAAGAUUUUUAAAAUGAGAAUAUCUGAAAUAAACACUCACAAACGAAAUUACUAGCAAUAAACCAAAUCGCUCUCAAAAAUUAAGUAAAAAACCGGGAGAUAUAAUCCAGAAUCCUUGUCCGGUACCAAAUCGAUCUCGAAAUAUAAUCAAUUCGUGCCAGUCACGAGGCCAAACAUCCCUGGAAGUUUCAUCCGAAUCCAUCCAGCGGUUCUUGAGAUAUCCUGUCCACGGACAAACAAGCAAGCAAACAAACACGAUAGAAAAGAAUACCUCCGCCUUUGCUAAGGCAGAGGUAAUAAACAAUCUCUUCGUUUCUUGGCCUUUUUCCUCUUCCCACCUUCUCUAGCAGUUUAGUACCAAACCAAAGCAAGUCUUUGAAUUACAUGUUAAUUAAAGUGUUCCUUAAGUAUCACCAGUUAAAACUGAUCAAGUGUUCAGAAUCAAAAAGAAUUGAUAAUAAAUUCCAUACGAAAUUUAGCCUGAUAAUCUAAUCUCGUGUCAAUUGCCUCGUUCCUUACGCAACUCAACAUGUUAAGCAAUAAACUGUUCCAAGCCAAAAUUCCUGAAAUUAGCAAAGAGUUAAGUUAUAAUUUAUUGCAAUUUAAUGUGAAGAAUUCAAAAUUAUUUAUACAGUAGCUUUUAGGAGUUGAACAAGAUAAAAUGUUUCAAAUAUUUCUAAAACAAUUAUAUAAGAAAUAUGAAACCUGCUUUGUAUAAUAAACUGUAUAUUACUACCAAGAUUCACAUUAAUAUCAUCAGAUGUAAUAUACUUUAUGGUAUCUAACAUAGAGGUAUAUGAAUAUGAAUGAAUAUAACGCUAUUAUCCAUAAAGUAUAUUACAAAAAUUGUAUAAUGUACUACUUGAUAGUCGGUGUCUGAUACUUUAGACUAUGAAUAUUUAUUUAAUGUUGUUAUAAAGUAAUAUAAAGUACCGAGAAUUGUCAAUAAAGAAGUUCCAGUCAGCGCUGAAAUGGUGCAUUCGUAAUCACUGCCAUCCAGACUUUCAUCUAGGUCAAAGAAUACUGUAUUAAAUAUCAUUAUGUUACGUCUCGGGAAGAUGCAAAAAGCAUUACAGAAAGAGAACCGCCACCCACUCUCUGUUCUUUGACAGUUACUGGCAAAUGUUCACCGAACAACUCGAUGUUAACAUCACCGACAAAGACUCAAACUUUUCCUUCGUGUUGUAGAAGUGAUGUCAGUGGAAAUAUUGUACAUUUGACUGGUACACUAACGACCGAACAUUACUGAUUUCAUAAGGUGUCGGACAACCACUCUUUCUUUACAUGUUAACGAUCUAUAUAUUAAGACUCUGGAUGCAAAACAAAUCUACUAAAGUAGAUUAUUUGAAAAUUAAGUGUAUUAGCCAAAGGAUUAUAUUUGCAGCAUUAAUUUUCCAAAAAACUUAGUCAACCUCUGUGACUCACCGAGGUUUGGAUUUCAUUACAUAAUCACAAAAGGUUCAGUCAAUCAAUAAAGACAUUUUCCGAUCACAGUAAUUAUCUACACAUCAUAUGAAAAAUAUCGAACACUUCAAAAAUGUUUCUUUCAAAUAUUGCAUUUAUCAUUACCAUAACAGUAAUUCCUCUAAUGAUUUAAUCGGUGUCCUCUGACAGAACCGUCGAAUUCUUUACUUCUAAUUUCCUUUUCGAAUUCAAAAUUUUAACAUCAGCUUUUAUCGUAAAUUUUUUAUUCAAGUCUGUUUGCAAUUUUUAAUAAUAGAUAUUUUUUUUUACAUUGUAAAAAUUCGAUUGCAAAAUGUAAGAGGUCGCGCUAAUUUCAUAUUAAUGUUAGAUGCAAGAGGACGUUAAAUAUUUUUUAGAUAGUUUGAAAAAAAAAGACAUCUCUAAUUUUAUGAUGCUAUUAAUAGCUUCAAACAUUUUUUAUAUAGAAGAAUCCAAUUAAAUGAAAAACAUUUUGCUAGACAACAAUGAAAAAUGUCUCUGUGUUGAAGAUGAGAGAAUGCAUUGAAAGCUUAGUCUCCAAUGAGAUUAAUAAGAGAAUCGGAGCGUUGUCAAACGAUUAAAAAGUAAGGGGAAAAGAAACAUUUAUAGGUACUAAUGAUGAAGGUUAUUGAGGAGUACCAAAUACUAAACAUCAGUGGCCGCAAGUUGGAAAAAUAUUACAAUGGAACGCCUCCUCUUGAAAAUUUGUUCUUUUAGAAUAAUUUUAUUUUCACUAUCAAAACUAUAGAAAUAAAACAUUGAGAACUUCAAACGUUAGGUAAAUGAUAUUGAGGCAGGUGAAAGAAAAGUAUUUGAAGUUGAGUUCCCACAAAUACAACAAUUUAAAAAGGUUUAUUUCUACUGACCAAAGAUAAUCGUUAAUUCGAGAACUGUUUUAGGUUGAGUAAAGUACUUUAUUCAAUCUCAAAAAAUAUGAAGAAUGUCUUUGAGAAAUUAAAACAAAAAUGUGGUAAUGUAAUGCAUAUUUUAUUCUCUUUAUUUUUUGGCAGUUGUCUAUGUCUAGGUUCCAUUGUUAUAAACGUCCAUUAGUGCGGACGAUAGUCGCAUCAUUUACACUAGAACUCAGUUAUUGUGUGUGUAUAAACAUCUGAUUUAACUAAUAAACAUCAUCUUGCAGAUGAGGGAAAAUUAAUUUAUGGUAACAUAGUUAAUUCGUCAUAAAGAACUGUGUAUUUCCAAAAGGAAUACAAUCUAUUCGAGCAACUAUCUGUAAAUAUUUGAAUAGCAAGGAGAUAAUGUACAUAUUAACUAAACUCUAUUGUAUUCCAUAUACAUACAUACAUACAUGUAUGAACACACACACACACACACACACACAUAUAUAUAUAUAUAUAUAUAUAUAUAUAUAUAUAUAUAUACAUGUAUAUAUAUACAUAUAUAUAUGUAUAUGAAUAUAUAUGUUUGUAUAUAUAUAUAUAAAUAUAUAUAUGUACGUGUGUGUGUACAUGUACACGCGUGUAUGUGUUUAUGUUUUUCGUUUCUUUGUAUUAAUUUCCAAGCAAUUAUAAACGAUAAUUGAAUCUUCAGUGAGACGAACUAUUUCUUCAAUAUUGAUUAUGAGAAUUUCGUCUUGUGCGCAUAUCAUAUUCAGAAUGAAAUACAUAUGUAAUUAUGCUCGGUGGCAUCGCUUCCUUUAAAGCAAACAUUGUAAAUAGAAAAGGAAAAUGACGUUACAAUUCAUAUUUGGGCAAGGAAACAAAAGAUGUCAGACAGGUAUAAAACGGAGAGUUGAAUUCGAAAUGCAGGUAAAUGAAAUAUGCUGAAUUACAUUGAAAAUAAUAUAUAAUGUUUGUGAUUGUAUUUUUAUAGCAUAGGCAUUGUGUCUGUUGUAUUAUUGUGAAGGCCACAAUAGCCAGUGUUAGUAUCAAUAUGAUGCUAUUGUUUUAUACAUGUUCUUUUAUGCUUUAUUUGUUUCAGCCAUUACUGUUAUAACUAAGCCAAAGCAACGUUUUCAAAAGAAAGACAUGGCGCAUUCGUGAUGGAGGCUCUGCUUAACGCUCGUGUUCCAAGAAAUAACAACGGAAUAUGCUUCAACCAGGAACGGAGGUUCUAAAGAAAAAAUUACCUUUUAUAAUAUAAACAUAUAUAUAAACAGGAAGAAUGGAUGAGCUUGGACGAAUCGCUUUUCCUCAUUGGUCUGUUUGAUUACAGCAGAUUUAAGGCAAAGCAACAUCAAUAAAGAUUUGAAUAAAAAUUCACAUUAAUAUUUAGGACUAGAUUAGCUUUUCGACUCAGAUAAAAUUUUUUCGAUACUAAGUCUACACACAUAUCACCCUUUUCCAAACACAUGCAUCUGUAGACACACACACACACACACACACACACACACACACACACACACAUAUAUAUAUAUAUAUAUAUACGAGAUGCAUUCCAGAAAAUCUUAGACAUUGUUUUAGGAGAGGCACUUAUAACCGUCCUAGAUUAUUUUACUAUUCGUAUAGCAUUACUAUACAUCCACUGAGCUGAUCUUGUAAUAUUUGCUAUUGCAUAUUGAAGGAAAUGACUACAACAGCUCUGAACACUCUCCACUAAACACUAAUUGUCUCAGGUGUCUAAUUUGUAGAAUGAUAUCAGGACGCAAAUAUGAAUUUUAAGCUCUCUAAGCAAUAAAGGUUUGUGUUGUUAAGCCGGGCACAAACGCUACAAAUUGCUUUUGGAUGAAUGUGUAUGAGCCUCGCAUCUGUUUUUCGCUCGAACGAGAGAGGACAGACAAAGGAAGUCCUCUGCGCAGCUCAUGUUGAUCCUCCUCUUCCACAUCCAUUGACUUCUUCUGACUCGAUGUUCAACAAUGCGUUCGUUAAUGUGCUUUUUAUAAAAUAUAUUCUUUUUAUAUCUUUAAUAAUUUUAAAUUUGAAAAUCCUCGAAGAGAAUUUAUUGAAAUAUUAUUGAAAUGUUAUUGGAAAAUCUUGAAGAAAUUAAAUGCACAUUAACUUAAGCGGUUUUAUAUCAGGUUAUCCCAUAAGUUCUGUCCGAAUUUUGAAUAAAAAAACCAAGUGAUCAAAUGUUAUAUUUAAUUGAAAUUUAAUCAUCAAUGUACUUUCCCUGAUUAUCUAUGACUUCCUUUCAUCUAUUUACAAGCUUUUUAAUCCCAUCAAUGUGAAACUCUUGGUUUUAAAGCGAAGAACUCUGAAAUGUCAGUUACGACCUCCUCCUGGCUUGCGAAAGUUAUGUCUCCCAAAUAAUUCUGUAAACUAUGAAACAAAUGGUAGUCUGAAGGAGCAAGGUCGGGAGAAAAAGGUGGAUGAGGAAUUUUUUCCCAACCAAGCUCUUUGAUCUUCUGUGAUGUGAUCUUUGCAGUGUGGGGUCGCGCAUUGUCCUGAUGAAACAUCACUGCUUUUUGAUUCACUAAAGCUGGUCUUUUUUCUUCAACGCUUGGUUCAAACGCUCUAAUUGCUGACGGUAGGCUUGAGCAUUGAUUAUUGCAUUAGGUGGUAACAAUUCAAAAUGAAUUACUCCUUUGCAAUCCCACCAGAGAGAGAGAAGAAACUUUUUUUCCAUGAAGUUCCCUUCUCGGUUGGGUUUGCGACAAGACCGCUGAAGUCUCCGCUACGAGGGCAGCUGAACCCUUUACGACCAAUCGAGUUAUACUUUUAGUGUGUAAUUUGACGUUUGCAAGUUUGUCUUUUGCUUUUGAUCGCUUUGUGUUUUUUGAAUGCUCUUUUAGCUCGUGUGUCUUGCUUCCUUCAAUAAUGGGACAUUUUGAAGAAUAACCUGAAUGGCUGAUGAAAUAGUUUGAUUAAUAACUAGAAAAAUGACUAAAAUGUGACUAUAUCAAGGUAAUAACCGAGGAAAUAACGCAACAAGCGACAAGGAAUCAAACUGUGAAUCGGUUAUUCUAAAACAUAGAAAUUGUUCUGCGAUGGAAUCCGAAAACAAAAAUUGAAACAAAACAUGAAACAACAAUUCAAAUCUGCAACGAAUGAAAUUUAAUUUCACUCAUAUUCAGAAACAAAACCUCACAAUCCCCAAAAUUCCCAAAAGGAAGGCCGAAAUAUAUGAAAACAAAGAGGGAUUCCGGAAUGAUUCCUCCCACAAAUUACCAAUAAAGCCCUUUCAUAAUGAAUCUGAACGACAAAAAUAUUUAAAUAUAACAUGGGUUUAGAAGAAAUGUAUACAACCAAAUUAGACGAGAUGAAAUGCUCUUUUCCUCAAAACAGGAUAUUUACUAAAACUCCAGAUUGAAACAGGCUGAAAGAAACUUGAAUAAUAUACAAAAAAGCAAUUCCAGACAGAACUGAUGGAAUGGUAAAAAACGCAAUCGACAGAAUUCACAUCAUGUAGCAUAGCCCGUUUGUAAGAAACCGAUGAUUAUUUUUUCAUACAAAAGCAUUUCAACACAACGACUCGAAUCUAUUUUGCUUGAUAUCUUUGUCAGCAUUUAUGUGCAAUUGUUACAUUUCACUACAGAAUUCCCAGAUGUCGGCAAUACAUUUCGUAUAGAGAGUAAUAUUGCAUAUAACUACCACGCAAAAAAACUAUUCCACGCUAGAAUUUUAUUUGGUAUUAACUGUUUUGCUUUAUUUCCUGUAAAUACCCCAUCAGUAUUCUAAUGAAAUUCCAGCAAGAUAAAUUACUUUGGGUCAUUAGCUGUGGUCAAGCGGGUUACGGAGUAAGGACAUAUUCGUAAUGGCGAGUCUGAUUAGAUAUAUUUUAUCAAUAUAUUUCAUAUCAUUCAUCAUGUUUGUCCUUUUAUCGACAGAAUAGUGGAAUUUUUGAGAUACAUGGCUGUCGUUUCCUUUCGAUGAAACGACAAUGUACAGCCUCAUUUCUUGGUUUGUUAACUAUAAAUACAGAAACGGUGGGAUGUGACGUAACGAAUAUUUCAGUCCGAUCGGAAGUUCCUUCCAACUUUUAGCAUAAUGGAUUCUGAAAUAUAUCCCAGUUACAUUUGAUUAUCAGAAUAGUGCUGCUGUCAAUUAAGUCAGCUGUCUCAAGAUGGCCGGUGAGCUUCGAACUUAGUACCAGGAAGGACUAGAGUGAUAGUUUUGUUAUUACCACAUUCAAAAUAAUAUAUUAAAAAUUACAUUACACCUGCCUGGUUAUAAAAUGAAAAAAGAUCAUUAUCAGUCUUGAUGUCUACAUAUUCUCAUCUACAAUCCUCGCUCAGGUGUAUAGAAAAUUCGAGAACAGGAAAUCGACUGCGUGGUGGAGAAGGAAUCAGACGUGUGGUUGGGAGAAGUAGGAAGGGAUGGUAGAUAUGAGGGUACAUAUAUGUAUAUAAAACUUAGAUAAAACUUAGAUAUGUUUCGACCAGAGAUUGGUCCAGGCCAUGUCUAACUUAAUAGCACCAUAUGCACAUGUAUAUGCCCAUAUACCUCCGAGUAUGCAUUCGUACUUAUACGAGUGUAUAUGUCGGAAUGUACAUCUAAGCAGACAUACGCACUCGUAUAAGUACAGAUGCAUACACGCAGAUAUAUGUGCAUAUACAUGUACACACAUACAUACACACAUAUAUAUUAUAACAAACUGUUUGAUCUAUACAUCUAUAUAUGUAGAUAUACAAAUAUAUAUAUAUAUAUAUCAAUUAUCAAGUACUCACCCCGAUUACAAUUAUCAAGUACUCACCCCGAAUUUCUAUAUAUAUAUAUAUAUAUAUAUAUAUAUAUGUAUAUAUAUACAUACAUAUAAAUGUUUAUAUAUAUAUAUAUAUAUAUAUAUAUAUAUAUAUAUAUAUAUAUAUAUAUAUACAUUUAUAUGUAUAUAUAUAUAUAUAUAUAUAUAUAUACAUUAUACAUAAUACAUAUAUUAUAAUAUAUAUGUAUAUAUAUAUCACAAUCAAGGAACGGCCAUAAUAGGCCAUUCACCCACUAGAAAUAACAGCCAAAAGCUUUAACCGCAAAAUAACAUCAAUUCCGUAAACCAGGAGAAAAUUAAAAAACAUUUACCCUGUAAUUUCUUAGACGAUGCACCGUUUCAUCUACCGUUUAAUGGUAAACUAACCUGAUUAAAUUAAAUCAAGCCAAUCUACCAUAGGCCCUUAGAUUCAUCAGUAAGAAAUAGCCAAGUCGGAACAGAUAUUUUUCACGAGGCAUUCCUCUUGCUACCUUGGCAAUAUCUGACCUAAAAUGUUCAUGCAUAUAUAUAUGUGUGUGUGUAUGUAUUCUUUUAUUCUUUUAUACGUUUCAGCCCUAAGGCUUUCGUCAUGCUGGAGCACCGGCUGCGUAAUCAGUUUUUGAAUGGCCAACCAUAUGCGAAAGUCUUUUGGUGCACAUGGGAGUUCCACACAGCAGCCCCCUUUUGAGUUUCCGGCCUUGAGAUAGGUUCAUCUGGAACCUUGGAUAGCAUGGGGUCAAAUUGUUUUGUGAGAAGAUCUACGUCUACUCCAUGAAAAUUGCUGAGAUGUUUUGGUAAGGUAUUAACCAGCUGUGAGUCUUUGAAUCCCAAGCUAUUGCAGUACAUGUUCUUCACUCUAGAUAGGAUAUCUGGGACCUUUAGAACAGUGCUUUGACGUCCCGUUCGGGAGUCGGUAUAUCUCUCGAUACCAAAGUUUGCUACACACACACAAUACACACACACACACACACACACACACACACACACACACACACACACACACACACACACACACACACACACACACACACACAGAAGUGCCUAAUUACCACUCUGAAACAACUGACAUCUGCUGGCAAACUACAUCGAAUGACAUGGAGCACAAACUUGAUUAAGGUAAACAAUUACACGAUAUUUCACUCGAAAGGUAAAUCCUAUGUUCGCUUUUUGGAUUUUGUAGAACAUAAAGGCUAUAGAUUCAUGACACUAGAGAAUUACGCAUCCUCAAAACCUGUUUAUAAUAGUAGUGUGAAUACUACGAAUGAUGGUGUAAUAAACAGGUUCUGAAGAAGCAUAAUUCGCUAUUAUUUCUUGCUUGCGUACGAUGACUUAAAUAUUUAUAUAUAUAUAUAUAUAUAUAUAUAUAUAUAUAUAUAUAUAUAUAUAUAUAUAAAUCCAGAUAUGCAGGAAGUAAAUAGACACCUUUAAUUUCCAAAAUUUCUGAUCUAAGCCGCUUAUAGUUUUCUGCGGUGUAGAAUUUCCAAUGUAAUUAUUCUUUUUCAUUCCAGGUGCCAUUAUAUUAAACAUUUGCGAGGAAUAACCAUGCCACGCACAAAAAAAAAAAAAAUCAGCACAACUAUCAGAUUUUCAAAGACGUCGUAUUGUUGGGCAACCUUAGGCUGGUCUUAGCCAGCGAAAAAUUGCCGAAAAUCUUCAAAUUUCUCUUGAUGCUGUUAAUAGAAUUAUAAUGCAAUUCAAAAGCCGACCUGGGCCCUCGGAAAGGAAACUUCGCUGUUUGAAGAGAAUUGUGGAAAACGAAUCCCGCUUGAAGGUUUCUGACAAUGCAAAACAGCUAGAAGUUAGGUAAAAAACUUGUGUUACAUAUCUGCAUAAGCUUGGGUAUUAUGGAUGAGCAGCUAGAAGGAAACCUCACCUUCAACCAAUUAAUAUCAAAUGAAAGAUUUUGAAAAUUAAAUAUGUCUAUUUACUUCCUGCAUGUAUAUAUAUAUUGUUGUAUUUCGGGACGGUAAUUUUUUACCAAAUAAACCCACGUACUGUAUAUUCGCUCUUCACUCGUUUAUUACCGUUCUAAAUCUAACUGGUGUCCAUUGUCCGUAAAUCUUUCGUUAUGCGUCUAUGACCUCCUCAGUGACAGUUUCCAUCUGCGUGUGUGCUCUUGUUCUGCUUAUUCCAUUCUUGAUAGAGGAACAGAAUGGAAUAAGCAGAGCAAGAGCACACACGAAGGUUGAAAGUGUCGCUGAGGAGGUCACAGAUGUGUGUCGAAUGAUUUACGGACAAUGGACAUCGAGUAGAUUAAGAACGGUAAUAAACGAGUGAAGAACGAAUAUACAGUGCGUGUGUUUAUUUGACAAGAAAAAAAAGACCAUCCCGAAAUGCAAUAUCUGUUUCAACACACGACUUCACAUCAGGAAUCUUGCAACAUAAAUUUAAAAAAAACGUACACACACACGCAUACAUACAUGCACACACACAGACACACGCACACACACAUACACAUAUAUAUAUAUAUACACACACACACACACACACGCAGAGAGACGCACACGCACACACGCACAGGGAAUAUCCAUCGUACUCAACUAAAUUCAUUACGUGUUAAUUAUGCAUUAAUUAUGGAAUAAUUAUAUAGUUAAUGAUGUUUCAACUUAAGUUAUGGAAAAAGCUGUGGAGUUAAACAAGUGAAAAUUUGGAAAUAGUUUUUGAUGUUUUUUUCUUCUACUUUUCCGAAUAUUCUGCUCAGAAUAUUCGUUUUAGGCAAUUUUACAUUCCUGCAAAUUCAUUCCUGCUACAGCCAUUACAUUGAAAUAAUAACAUAUUAACGUAUUUAUAUUUUUCUAUAACUUAAGCAAGAAUACACACAACAUACACACAACACACACAAACACAUACACUCAUUCAUACAUCCACACACACACACUCGCACACACAUGCGCCUUUGUACCUGUGCUUGUCAGGUUUAUAUGAAGUGAGAGACAGAGACACAUCCGUAGAUACAAGUUCUACAUUAUUUUCCGUCAUCCAUCGUAGAGGACAUUCGCCAAAGUUGCAGCGAAAUGAAACUUAUCCCGAAACGCAGGUUUGCUGGGCAAUUUCUUAUACGCUACAAGAAGUUUUUUGUUUUUAUUUAUAACAGAAUGUUUUAUUUUUACGCAUCGAAAUCUGUGUUCUAAAGCUGAAUACGUUCACACACUUACAAACAUAUACAUAUAUACAAAAACAUACGUAUACAUUCAUAGUUUAUGUACCUAUGUAUUUAGGUACAUCGGUCUAUCUAUCUAUCUAUCUAUCUAUCUAUCUAUCUAUCUAUCUAUCUAUCUAUCUAUCUAUCUAUCUAUCUAUCUAUCUAUCUAUCUAUCUAUCUAUCUAUCUAUACCUGCGCAUGCGUUUGCAGCGGGGUGUGUGUGUGUGUGUGUCUGUGUGUGUGUGUGUGUCUCUGUGUUUUGCCUUGUGCGCGUGUUUGCUGCCUUCUGGGGGUAGGGUGAGGUUUUACUAUUCCAUUUGCGUUUUCUGUUAAGGAUCGCUAUAUUUUCUAUUAUGUGUUUAUAUGUGUGGCCUCCGUAAUCUAUCUGAGUUUUGUGUCAGUUCUAUGUGUGUAUGGGAUAGGGGCUCGAUAGAUAACAUAAAUGUUGAGCUCCAUAUAUAUAUAUAUAUAUAUAUAUAUAUAUAUAUAUAUAUAUAUAUAUAUAUAUAUGUGACGUAUAUAUAUAUAUAUAUAUAUAUAUGCACAUACAUGCUAACCUUACUAAACUGUGGGGGAAUUAUGCCACAGCAAUCAUUUAUACACACAAGAAUUGUUGCAUUCAAUCUAGUUUUCAGCUUACUCACUGCUCGUUAUUCCGACUUCUCUCAUCUUUCCUAUAAACCGUCUAUCUUCCAUGUAUAUGUUUUGAAAUUCCAAACUACUUUCUUCAUGUGAACAGAGGUUAACAAAGCACACUAAAUCGACUGCUAUCAUCUCCAUCAUCGAUAUCAUUCUAAUCACUAUUAUCAAUAUUUUAAUCAGCAUCAUCUUCAUCAUCAUCAUCAUCAUCAACCACAUCAUCAUCAUCAUCAUCGUCAUCGUCGUCGUCGUUGUCCUCCUCCUCCUCCUCCUCCUCCUCCUCAUCAUCAUCAUCAGCAGCAGCAGCAACAGCGGCCUCAGCAGGAUGCUGAUAAUAUCAUGAUCCAUAUCAUUAUACUUAGUAGCAACAUCAUCACCACGAACACUAUUUCUACAAAGCCACGACCCGCAUCAUCUUCCCUAUCCUUGCAAUCAUCAUCAUCAUCAUCCUCAUCAUCAUCGUCGUCGUCGUCGUCAUCUUCAUCAUCAUCCUCCUCAUCAUUAAUAUGACGACUAUCAGUGUAGCAUUACCGCCACCACCACCACCACCACCACCACAGCUACCACAGCCACCACCACCAUCGCCGCCAUCACCACCACCAUCGCCAUCAUCAUCGCUGUCAUCAAGAUCAAAAACAUUCAACAUCACUGAAUGCAAAAGUAUCAAUUUGGAUCAAUGGAAAGAAAUGUCUUUGUGUUUCGGUGGUUUUAUCUGUUCAAUCUGAUCAGCUUAAUCCUUUCUGCUACAUAUUCAACAAUAAUCAGGGUGUAAGAUCACCAGCGAGAAACCUGUUCAAUUUAUGUUCUAACACACAUACAUACAUACUUAGAGAUCACACACAUACACACAAACAUAUAUAUGUAUAUAUAUAUAUAUAUAUGUUUGUGUGUAUAUAUGUAUAUAUAUGUAUAUAUAUACAAUAUACACACACACAUAUAUAUACAUAUAUAUUUAUAUAUACAUGUAUAUAAUCUCACACACACACAAAUAUAAAUAUGUAUGCGCUUAGAUAUAUAUAUAUAUGAAUUUUCCUGGUAUUCGUGUGCGUGCCUCGUUGUAUGUGUGUGAGUAUACAUAUGUAUGUAUAUGUAAUGAGAUAUACUUAUUGAAGUGUGUUGAAGAUAAAUAUAUUUUUCAUUGAAUAGAGCCGGUAUCAAAAUCUUUUUCUAUAUUCACUUGCUUUUGGUGUCCCAAUGUAAACCAAAGGACAUGAUAAACAUCACAAAUAUAAAAUAUCCAAAGUGCUCCAUUUCUUUUGAACCACAUUGGUAAUCUAAUCUUGGAAUCAGCAGUGAAAUAAGUCAGUGUUUGUAGUUAAACAAUGAAAUAUAUCGAUCAAAAUAUGUACUUGUUAUUAUUUGCUCAUCUUUUUGUAUAGAUUAGAACAUUUCUAAAGGAAAUAUGAACAGAAGUUGAAAUCGAACAAAUCCCUGAAACAAUUACUUGUGUAAGACGAGACGUAGGAAACAGAAUUUAUACCGAAAGCAUUAUUUGUCUACUCCAGGUUGAAUAACAUUGAUUUUUCAAGUAUUCUAUCACUUUUGCUAAGAAGUAGUCCUUGGAAAUUUACGCCGACUUCCACAUCUUAUAAUAUUUUCUCUCAUAGAAGAGUCCUAUCAAACACAGUCUAAGAAUAUGGAUAAUGUGUUUUGCACUUUUGGUACACUCAUGCGAGAAUCAAUACCACUGAAAAUAUUUGAGCAGCUAACAAAAUGUUUUUGUGAUACAUUUAGCUAAAAACAAAUUAUCCUGCAUUAUUUCGUAGUUUGUAAUUUUCUUUUUCUAUAAUUUCAUAUUUGAAACGAACCGAAAGAUCACUUCUAAAGUUUCUGCAAUCAAAAUAUCUUAGGCAGAACCUUAUGUAAUAGAGUAUCGUAAAAAAGCUAUCUAAUUUUGCAUUCCCACAUUGCGAUAAAAUUUUGAGAGAAUGAACAAGACAUUUCAUAGGCCCGGAAAGAGCGGGUACAAGCGGUGCAAGUCCCCAUCCUAAAAUUAUACAGGGGACAUGAAGACGCUUUGAGUAUACCUUUGAAAGGUUUCAUCACUAAAACGAACGUGUUUGUUCUGAUAUUAAGAUUGUAAAAAAGAUCAACUUUGAUUAU
rnacentral:lncRNA from 1 species